UCCCCUAGUAACUGCGAGUGAAGCGGGAAGAGCUCAAAUUUGUAAUCUGGCGGUCUCUGGCCGUCCGAGUUGUAAUCUGUAGAGGCGUCGUCCGCGUCGGCCCGUGUACAAGUCUCCUGGAAUGGAGCGUCAUAGAGGGUGAGAAUCCCGUCCAUGACACGGAUCACCGAUGCUCUGUGAGGUGCCCUCGAAGAGUCGCGUUGUUUGGGAAUGCAGCGCAAAAUGGGUGGUAAAUUCCAUCUAAGGCUAAAUAUUGGCGAGAGACCGAUAGCGAACAAGUACCGUGAGGGAAAGAUGAAAAGCACUUUGAAAAGAGAGUUAAACAGUACGUGAAAUUGUUGAAAGGGAAACGCUUGAAGUCAGUCGCGUCUCGAGGCACUCAGCCUUGCUUCGGCUUGGUGUACUUGCCUUGGGAUGGGUCAACAUCGAUUUUGGUUGGUGGACAAGGGUGAGGGGAAUGUAGCGUCGUUUCGGUGACGUGUUAUAGCCUCUUGUCGAAUACGCCAGCUGGGAUUGAGGACCGCAGCACGCCCUUGUGGCCGAGGGUUCGCCCUACGUAACGUGCUUAGGAUGUUGGCAUAAUGGCUUUAAGCGACCCGUCUUGAAACACGGACCAAGGAGUCUAACAUGCUUGCGAGUGUUCGGGUGGAAAACCCUUGCGCAUAAUGAAAGUGAAAGUUGGGAGCCUUCGUAGGGGGUGCACUGACGCCCGGCCCUGACGUUCUCUGAUGGUGCUGCGGUAGAGCAAGUAUGUUGGGACCCGAAAGAUGGUGAACUAUGCCUGAAUAGGGUGAAGCCAGAGGAAACUCUGGUGGAGGCUCGUAGCGAUUCUGACGUGCAAAUCGAUCGUCAAAUUUGGG
rnacentral:rRNA from 1 species